rnacentral:lncRNA from 1 species
CCGGAGAAAAACGAAAAGUUUGUACGAAAAGUUUAGGGAAAGUAGAGAAAAUGUGAGGGUUUGGAAACUUUUAGGGAUAAGAAAUGCAAUUUCGAUUUUGAAAAGAGGGAAAAUAUGAGAGGGAUGACAGAUUUGGGAAAUUUUGGGUUUAGGAGGGAAGUUAUAGAAACUGAAAAUUGUAUUUUAAUUUCUAGAAGAUAUUAACCUCCUCCUAAUAACAUUAAAACCCCCACAAUCAUCAGCGCUUAGUUAAAUCUUUCUAAUUAUUUUAAAUAAUAUUAAUUUGUGGAGGGUUUUUAUAACUCCACAAAAUAACCUCAGCAGAAUACUACUUUUUUUGUAGUGAGAUAUAACAAACACUUCAGAACAAGAACAUGUAAUACUGUAACAUGUGUACUGUUAUUAAGCAUU